AUUGAACGCUGGCGGCAGGCCUAACACAUGCAAGUCGAACGGUAACAGGAAGCAGCUUGCUGCUUCGCUGACGAGUGGCGGACGGGCGAGUAAUGUCUGGGAAACUGCCUGAUGGAGGGGGAUAACUACUGGAAACGGUAGCUAAUACCGCAUAACGUCGCAAGACCAAAGAGGGGGACCUUAGGGCCUCUUGCCAUCGGAUGUGCCCAGAUGGGAUUAGCUAGUAGGUGGGGUAACGGCUCACCUAGGCGACGAUCCCUAGCUGGUCUGAGAGGAUGACCAGCCACACUGGAACUGAGACACGGUCCAGACUCCUACGGGAGGCAGCAGUGGGGAAUAUUGCACAAUGGGCGCAAGCCUGAUGCAGCCAUGCCGCGUGUAUGAAGAAGGCCUUCGGGUUGUAAAGUACUUUCAGCGGGGAGGAAGGGAGUAAAGUUAAUACCUUUGCUCAUUGACGUUACCCGCAGAAGAAGCACCGGCUAACUCCGUG
rnacentral:rRNA from 1 species